rnacentral:rRNA from 1 species
GGCGAGCGAACAGGAAAAAGCUCAGCACCGAAUCCUGCAAUUGUAACUAGUUGCUAGGAAAUGUGGUGUUUGGAAGGAUUCAUUAUUUUAUGAUUAGUAUUAAGUCCAAGUCUAUCUUGAACGGGGCCAUUACCCAUAGAGGGUGCCAGGCCCGUAGCGACUAAUACUAAUUUUAAAAGAAUUUCUUCUGAGAGUCGGGUUGCUUGAGAGUGCAGCCCUAAGUGGGUGGUAAACUCCAUCUAAAGCUAAAUAUAACCACGAGACCGAUAGCGAACAAGUACCGUGAGGGAAAGUUGAAAAGAACUUUGAAGAGAGAGUUCAAUAGUACGUGAAACCGUUUAGGGGUAAACCUGAAAAACCCGAAAGGUCGAAAAGAAAGAUUCAUUCGCGUUUCAAAUGUUAGUGUUUUGAUAAUUAAUUGACAAUUUUCGCUUGCGUAAAUUGCUUUUACUAUUAAACAAACUAAUUUUGAACGUGUGCACUUCUUUCUUAGUAGGACGUCGCGAUUCAUUGAGUGUCGAUUGAAGACUUGUAGAAAAGUUUGUUAACAAUAUUAUUUUGUUUUCAAGUCUAUAAUGUUUCUAAUCGACUUGCUUGAUGAUAUAAAUUAAAGCGUAAAGUCACAUUAAAUGUGUUUGAUUUAUGACAAGUUAGUUUGUUAUUUAGAAAUUCGGAUCUGAUGCCGAUUCUAAAAACAAUCUGCUGUUAGUCAUAUUCUUAUCAAACCGACUUUAAAGCGCUAAUCAGCGACGCUAUAGCUUUGGGUAAUUUCAGGACCCGUCUUGAAACACGGACCAAGGAGUCUAGCAUGUACGCAAGUCAUUAGGACAUAAUUAAACCUAAAGGCAUAAUAAAAGUAAAAAUUUGUUUUAAACAAAUUUAGGGAAGAUAAGUAAUUUUAUAUAAAAUUACUUCGCAUUCCCGGGGCGUCUUAAUCUUAUUGCAAGAUAAGGUGCACCAAGAGCGUACACGCUGGGACCCGAAAGAUGGUGAACUAUGCCUGGUCAGGACGAAGUCAGGGGAAACCCUGAUGGAGGUCCGUAGCGAUUCUGACGUGCAAAUCGAUCGUCGGAACUGGGUAUAGGGGCGAAAGACUAAUCGAACCAUCUAGUAGCUGGUUCCCUCCGAAGUUUCCCUCAGGAUAGCUGGCGUUUUAUAAACGAGUUUCAUCCGGUAAAGCGAAUGAUUAGAGGCAUUGGGGUCGAAACGACUUCAACCUAUUCUCAAACUUUAAAUGGGUGAGAUCUUCGGCUUGCUUAAAUGUGAAGCCGUAAGAAAUCGAAUCAAAGUGCCAAGUGGGCCAUUUUUGGUAAGCAGAACUGGCGCUGUGGGAUGAACCAAACGUUGAGUUAAAGCGCCAAAAUCGACGCUUAUGGGAUACCAUGAAAGGCGUUGGUAACUUAAGACAGCAGGACGGUGGCCAUGGAAGUCGGAAUCCGCUAAGGAGUGUGUAACAACUCACCUGCCGAAGUUACUAGCCCUGAAAAUGGAUGGCGCUGAAGCGUCGUGCUUAUACUCAACCGUUAGUGACAUGUGCAGUUAUUUUUUUAACUAUGAAGUCCUAACGAGUAGGAGGGUCGUGGCGGUGUGCGUAGAAGGGCUAAUCGUAGGAUUGUCUGGAGCCGCCGUCGGUGCAGAUCUUGGUGGUAGUAGCAAAUACUCCAGUGAGGCCCUGGAGGACUGACGUGGAGAAGGGUUUCGUGUGAACAGCAGUUGCACACGAGUCAGUCGAUCCUAAGCUCUAGGCGAAAGCCGAUGUUGAUGUAGUGUUUUUAAUUAAAAAUUUUUUCAAGAAAUUUGUUAAGAUACACACUCAUUGAGCGAAAGGGAAUCCGGUUCCUAUUCCGGAACCCGGCAGCGGAACCGUUUAAAAAUCGGGCCCUCGUAAGAGAGUUCGUCGGGGUAACCCAAAAUGACCCGAAGACGCCGUCGGAAAAUCCAGAAAGAGUUUUCUUUUCUGUAUGAGCAUUCGAGUUCCAUGGAAUCCUUUAGCAGGGAGAUAUGGUUUGGAAUGCGAAGAGCACCGCAGUUGCGGCGGUGUCUGGAUUUUUCCCGCGGACCUUGAAAAUUCGGGAGAGGGCUACGUGGAGGAGUCGCGCCGGCUCGUACCCAUAUCCGCAGCAGGUCUCCAAGGU